AGCAAAGAGAAUUCAAGACCUAAGAAAUAAGUGUUGAGAAAAAUUCUGCUAAUAAAAGAGAAAAGGUCCAACUCCAACUAGACUAAGGGACGGCGUGGCGGUUGACGACAUUAAUGGUGGAAGAAAGCUGAGCAGCAGGGGGUAUAGCAUCCCCGGUAGGAGCAUCAACAGAAGCAGAAGCACCGCGACCAGGUUGAGGUUGGAGGUGUCCCUGGGUCCCAUACCCCUGCUGCUUGUAAUCCUCCAAGUCCUUGUACUGCGUGUAGGGACUAGUAUUCACCGGCAGCCCUUC
rnacentral:lncRNA from 1 species